AUGGCCGACGCGGGUCAAAGUGUAGUAUCUGUUCUUAUCAGCUUUAAUAUACGAUACGGGUUGUAUUUGUACCCAAUAUAAUAAACUUAUUUUUGCAAGUUGGCGGAGUGCUUGAAGCCUGCUUCCCCUCCCCUACGGGUUGGCCGGGGUACACUAUCUUCGGGAUUUUUGGUCUACGGGCA